rnacentral:rRNA from 1 species
GACGAACGCUGGCGGCGUGCUUAACACAUGCAAGUCGAACGGAAAGGCCCUGCUUUUGUGGGGUGCUCGAGUGGCAAACGGGUGAGUAACACGUGAGUAACCUGCCCUUGACUUUGGGAUAACUUCAGGAAACUGGGGCUAAUACCGGAUAGGAGCUCCUGCUGCAUGGUGGGGGUUGGAAAGUUUCGGCGGUUGGGGAUGGACUCGCGGCUUAUCAGCUUGUUGGUGGGGUAGUGGCUUACCAAGGCUUUGACGGGUAGCCGGCCUGAGAGGGUGACCGGCCACAUUGGGACUGAGAUACGGCCCAGACUCCUACGGGAGGCAGCAGUGGGGAAUAUUGCACAAUGGGCGGAAGCCUGAUGCAGCAACGCCGCGUGCGGGAUGACGGCCUUCGGGUUGUAAACCGCUUUCGCCUGUGACGAAGCGUGAGUGACGGUAAUGGGUAAAGAAGCACCGGCUAACUACGUGCCAGCAGCCGCGGUGAUACGUAGGGUGCGAGCGUUGUCCGGAUUUAUUGGGCGUAAAGGGCUCGUAGGUGGUUGAUCGCGUCGGAAGUGUAAUCUUGGGGCUUAACCCUGAGCGUGCUUUCGAUACGGGUUGACUUGAGGAAGGUAGGGGAGAAUGGAAUUCCUGGUGGAGCGGUGGAAUGCGCAGAUAUCAGGAGGAACACCAGUGGCGAAGGCGGUUCUCUGGGCCUUUCCUGACGCUGAGGAGCGAAAGCGUGGGGAGCGAACAGGCUUAGAUACCCUGGUAGUCCACGCUGUAAACGGUGGGUACUAGGUGUGGGGUCCAUUCCACGGGUUCCGUGCCGUAGCUAACGCUUUAAGUACCCCGCCCGGGGAGUACGGCCGCAAGGCUAAAACUCAAAGGAAUUGACGGGGCCCCGCACAAGCGGCGGAGCAUGCGGAUUAAUUCGAUGCAACGCGUAGAACCUUACCUGGGUUUGACAUGGAUCGGGAGUGCUCAGAGAUGGGUGUGCCUCUUUUGGGGUCGGUUCACAGGUGGUGCACGGCUGUCGUCAGCUCGUGUCGUGAGAUGUUGGGUUAAGUCCCGCAACGAGCGCAACCCUUGUUCACUGUUGCCAGCACGUUAUGGUGGGGACUCAGUGGAGACCGCCGGGGUCAGCUCGGAGGAAGGUGGGGAUGACGUCAAGUCAUCAUGCCCCUUAUGUCCAGGGCUUCACGCAUGCUACAAUGGCUGGUACAGAGAGUGGCGAGCCUGUGAGGGUGAGCGAAUCUCGGAAAGCCGGUCUCAGUUCGGAUUGAGGUCUGCAACUCGACCUCAUGAAGUCGGAGUCGCUAGUAAUCGCAGAUCAGCAACGCUGCGGUGAAUACGUUCCCGGGGC